rnacentral:sRNA from 1 species
AAUUAUAUUACUGUUUAAUGUUCAUCCAUGCUCUUCUUUUUACAAUAAUGAAAAUGUAUAAUAAUCUAAAAGUUUUGUAGUGUGCACUUAACAUGAAAUUUAUUGGAGUUAAUAAAGGCUGUCUAA